rnacentral:rRNA from 1 species
CCCUUAGAUGUCCUGGGCUGCACGCGCGCUACACUGAUGUGUCCAGUAAGCACCUAACCUCUUCCGAAAGGAACGGGUAACCUUUGCAAAGCACAUCGUGAUGGGGAUAGAUUAUUGCAAUUAUUAGUCUUGAACGAGGAAUUCCUAGUAAGCACAAGUCAUCAGCUUGUGUUGAUUACGUCCCUGCCCUUUGUAUACACCGCCCGUCGCUCCUACCGAUUGAAUGUUCCGGUGAGCUCUUCGGACUGCGCGGUCUGCAGUUUCUGCGUUCCGUGCGGAAAGUUGCGCAAACCUUAACAUUUAGAGGAAGGAGAAGUCGUAACA